UGUUGUUCUUUUAUUUACCACCAAGGUUAAUUAUCUGUCAGGACACAGCUUUCCCGAUGCUUACACCAGUUUGUGUGUUUAAACAGCAGAGUUUGGGUUGGGUUUCUUUAUUUUUGGUGAUGGGGGAAAAUGCAUUUUUGUGACCAUUUGGAAGAGGGCAAAAAGAUUGUGGGGUUUGCAAGAAAAUGGGGAAAAAGGAAGUUUUUGUGUGGGAGGGAGGGCUGUGUGUGGGAGCAGCAGUAAGGGGAAGGGCAGGAGAGCUGACUUCCCCCUUUUUGUAAUGCAAGGGGAAAUGCUGGAGAGUUUGAGAGCUCGAUGGAGACUUUAGGGGCUGGAUGGAGGUUUUUUGUGGGGCUGAAUGGAGGUUUUUGGGGCCACACAAAGGUCUGGGGGCUACAUGAAGGAUCUUCAGGCUCAGUGGAGGUUUUGGGGCUGGAUAGAAAUGUUGGGGUGGUUGGAGAUUUUGUGUCUGAGUGGAGGAUUUUGGGGUGGAUGGAGGUUUUUUGUGCAGAUGGAGAUUUUGUGUCAGGAUGAUGGCUUUUGGGUUUGACUAGGGUGUUGGGGCCUGGAUGUAGAGACUGGGUCUGGGUGUAGAGAGGCUGCAGGCAUCGACAAUGAAGAAGACUCCAAGGCCGAAGACGAGUGCAGCAACCAAGCCCCUCACCAGUGUUAUCACCAGAUUUACAUGGGACCACUCCUCAGCACCCGUGGGGUCCAUGUAUUUGGUUGUUCCUGUUGCCAGCCACAACCCCCAUACAGACUGAAUCUAGGGACAGUGUCACCAGUCCACGGCAGGGGGUGCACAAAAUGGGGAGGCUCAGACCCACCUCGGUUUGCGGAUCUGGGUGUCACCUCCAGCAUCACGCUGUUCCCAAGGGGAGAGGACAUUAAGUGGAAGAAACCCUUGAUGAGGCACCCGGUACUGGCACUGAUACGUACCUGUGUGUUCCCGCAUUGUGCUAACAAAGGAGAACUCGGCCGUAUUCUGCACCUGGUGCUUGUACAUGCAGAAGAUGGAUCAUUCUUCCUGGCAGAGCCAGACCCAG